rnacentral:tRNA from 1 species
GGGCCCGUAGUGUAGCCAUCCUUGCGCGAAAGGCCGCGCGGGACUGCAAUGGAUAUCACUGAGGCCUCCGGAGCCUCGGACCCGGGUUCGAAUCCCGGCGGGCCCG